rnacentral:rRNA from 1 species
AGAGUUUGAUCAUGGCUACGAGGACGAACGCUGGCGGCGUGCUUAACACAUGCAAGUCGAACGGGGCGAAGAGGAGCUUGCUCUUCCUAGCCUAGUGGCAAACGGGUGAGUAACGCGUAGGCAACCUGCCCUUCAGAUGGGGACAACAUUUCGAAAGGAAUGCUAAUACCGAAUGACGUACAUUGGUCGCAUGACCGAUGUACCAAAGGCCGGGCAACCGGUCACUGAAGGAUGGGCCUGCGUCUGAUUAGCUAGUUGGUGGGGUAACGGCCCACCAAGGCGACGAUCAGUAGCCGGUCUGAGAGGAUGAACGGCCACAUUGGGACUGAGACACGGCCCAAACUCC